rnacentral:rRNA from 1 species
AGUGAACGCUGGCGGUAGGCCUAACACAUGCAAGUCGAACGGCAGCACAGGAGAGCUUGCUCUCUGGGUGGCGAGUGGCGGACGGGUGAGGAAUACAUCGGAAUCUACUCUGUCGUGGGGGAUAACGUAGGGAAACUUACGCUAAUACCGCAUACGACCUACGGGUGAAAGCAGGGGACCUUCGGGCCUUGCGCGAUUGAAUGAGCCGAUGUCGGAUUAGCUAGUUGGCGGGGUAAAGGCCCACCAAGGCGACGAUCCGUAGCUGGUCUGAGAGGAUGAUCAGCCGAACUGGAACUGAGACACGGUCCAGACUCCUACGGGAGGCAGCAGUGGGGAAUAUUGGACAAUGGGCGCAAGCCUGAUCCAGCCAUACCGCGUGGGUGAAGAGGGCCUUCGGGUUGUAAAGCCCUUUUGUUGGGAAAGAAAUCCAGCUGGCUAAUACCCGGUUGGGAUGACGGUACCCAAAGAAUAAGCACCGGCUAACUUCGUGCCAGCCGCCGCCGUAA